AGACUGGAGCCAGCUCUUUGGGGAAGGGAAGGUUUAUUGCUCAGGUUCAGAGAGCUAAACAAAGCAAAGGGUCUGAACCCCAAAAGCGGUUCUGUAAAACAUAUUUAUACCCUUUAAUACGUAUAUAUUUCCUGAUCACAUAGUAUUCCUUACAUGGCUAUUUUCUAUACAUCCUUGUCUCAACAUAUGGAAGAAUACCAGACAGUUUUGACCAAACACGUGCUUAUGUAAAAACAGGAUAUGGUCCAGACAGAGCAAGGCUAAAUUGGUCAGCAGCUGCAAGACAGGAAACCUUCUGAAGACCCAGCAGUUUUAGAGCAACAGCAUUUUUCCACUUUAAUUCUGCCUACUGCCAGAGUUCAGCAGAUUAAUUCUCACCAGCUCAAGGUUGAUUCAGCUUUCCAUCCAUCCGAGUGUCUCUUGCUUUCAAGAAUACAGAAAUUUGCAGCCAUGAACAUUUUAUAUUGUUUCACUGCUGUAAUUUUUUUCUUCUUCCAUGCUGCUCAGGAAGACCACUUUAUAGAAGCCAUUCUGCUUACUUGUGCAUCAAUGGGUGGAUUCUGCAUUCUACAACCCAAUGAGACCUGUCCUUCAGGUAUCCUCCUGGAUGUGCCUUGUCAUUUCAGAAGAAGGUGUUGUUCAAAGACUGAUGCUUGACUCCCAUCUUUACAUGCUUAUUGGAUAAUCAGCUUUCAUCGCUUCCGCUAGUUAGCUGUACUUGAUUUAUCAUGGUAUUUCCUACUUGAGAUAGGUAACUAAGUUUGAUAAUCAAGCCCCUCCACAAUUUGGACACUUAUUCAAAAUUUAUUUUGUGUAUAUGCUAUGUCCCACUUUGCUAUCAUUAUUGACAACUCCAUAUAUUUUGCCAAGGCCACAUUUAUAUCUCUAGGUCCCUCACUACUUAUUUAAAGAUCCAUAAUUCAUUUGGAUGGAAUCCUAAUGUGCAAUGACAAUAAAGAGAAAGAAUAGGAUUGCCUCAGUGAAAAAUUGAAAGCACACAACUGUUUUCCAAAUUAAGGAAAUUAAAUUGUCGGUGCUGAAUUCUGAGGAAAAUAUAGGUUGAAAAUCCUCUUAAAAUGAGAAAAAGAAAAAAGGACAUCUCUCUUGGAAUCAGGAAAGAGCAAGUCCCCAUUGGAAAAAAAUCUGUCCAUCGUUUCCUGAUAAUAUUUUAUUAUUUCAAUUUACUGAUUUAUUGACCCAUGGAAGGAAUUUCAUUUGCCUUGUCAACUAGAUUUAAAUUAGUACCUCAUGUUCAACUAAAUGGGUUUGUAGAAAAAUGUUGAUUUUUUUCCCCAGAAGAUGGUAAUCUAUAGAUUUCACUGAAGUUGAGAGAGAAAAUAAUUCAGUUUUAGUCUUGAAAGUACAAAUAUGACAUACCACCAUCAUCUUUGCUUUAUUAAAACAUUGGGAAUAUUUAACAGUCAGAAUUUUAAUUUGACCUAGUAGGUAUAUUUUAUGAGAAAUUUUAGAAAUGCAUAAACCAGAUAGUGUUUAUAGCAUGUUAAUGUAGUUUUACAUAUUUAUAUGGAAUUAUUUAAUUAUUUUCCUGCUAAUAUUAAAAUAAAAAUUGUCAUGGGCAGCUGAAAUCUUA